GUAGGUGGCAAGCGUUGUCCGGAAUUAUUGGGCGUAAAGCGCGCGCAGGCGGUUCUUUAAGUCUGAUGUGAAAGCCCACGGCUCAACCGUGGAGGGUCAUUGGAAACUGGAGAACUUGAGUACAGAAGAGGAAAGCGGAAUUCCACGUGUAGCGGUGAAAUGCGUAGAGAUGUGGAGGAACACCAGAGGCGAAGGCGGCUUUCUGGUCUGUAACUGACGCUGAGGCGCGAAAGCGUGGGGAGCAAACAGGAUUAGAUACCCUGGUAGUCCACGCCGUAAACGAUGAGUGCUAAGUGUUAGGGGGGUUUUCCGCCCCCCUUAGUGCUGCAGCUAACGCAUUAAGCACUCCGCCUGGGAGUACGGCCGCAAGGCUG
rnacentral:rRNA from 1 species